GUCGAACGGUGAAGCCAAGCUUGCUUGGUGGAUCAGUGGCGAACGGGUGAGUAACACGUGAGCAACCUGCCCUGGACUCUGGGAUAAGCGCUGGAAACGGCGUCUAAUACUGGAUAUGAGCUCUCAUCGCAUGGUGGGGGUUGGAAAGAUUUUUCGGUCUGGGAUGGGCUCGCGGCCUAUCAGCUUGUUGGUGAGGUAAUGGCUCACCAAGGCGUCGACGGGUAGCCGGCCUGAGAGGGUGACCGGCCACACUGGGACUGAGACACGGCCCAGACUCCUACGGGAGGCAGCAGUGGGGAAUAUUGCACAAUGGGCGGAAGCCUGAUGCAGCAACGCCGCGUGAGGGAUGACGGCCUUCGGGUUGUAAACCUCUUUUAGCAGGGAAGAAGCGAGAGUGACGGUACCUGCAGAAAAAGCGCCGGCUAACUACGUGCCAGCAGCCGCGGUAAUACGUAGGGCGCAAGCGUUAUCCGGAAUUAUUGGGCGUAAAGAGCUCGUAGGUGGUUUGUCGCGUCUGCUGUGAAAUCCCGAGGCUCAACCUCGGGCCUGCAGUGGGUACGGGCAGACUAGAGUGCGGUAGGGGAGAUUGGAAUUCCUGGUGUAGCGGUGGAAUGCGCAGAUAUCAGGAGGAACACCGAUGGCGAAGGCAGAUCUCUGGGCCGUAACUGACGCUGAGGAGCGAAAGGGUGGGGAGCAAACAGGCUUAGAUACCCUGGUAGUCCACCCCGUAAACGUUGGGAACUAGUUGUGGGGACCAUUCCACGGUUUCCGUGACGCAGCUAACGCAUUAAGUUCCCCGCCUGGGGAGUACGGCCGCAAGGCUAAAACUCAAAGGAAUUGACGGGGACCCGCACAAGCGGCGGAGCAUGCGGAUUAAUUCGAUGCAACGCGAAGAACCUUACCAAGGCUUGACAUAUACGAGAACGGGCCAGAAAUGGUCAACUCUUUGGACACUCGUAAACAGGUGGUGCAUGGUUGUCGUCAGCUCGUGUCGUGAGAUGUUGGGUUAAGUCCCGCAACGAGCGCAACCCUCGUUCUAUGUUGCCAGCACGUAAUGGUGGGAACUCAUGGGAUACUGCCGGGGUCAACUCGGAGGAAGGUGGGGAUGACGUCAAAUCAUCAUGCCCCUUAUGUCUUGGGCUUCACGCAUGCUACAAUGGCCGGUACAAAGGGCUGCAAUACCGUGAGGUGGAGCGAAUCCCAAAAAGCCGGUCCCAGUUCGGAUUGAGGUCUGCAACUCGACCUCAUGAAGUCGGAGUCGCUAGUAAUCGCAGAUCAGCAACGCUGCGGUGAAUACGUUCCCGGGUCUUGUACACACCGCCCGUCAAGUCAUGAAAGUCGGUAACACCUGAAGCCGGUGGCCCAACCCUUGUGGAGGGAGCCG
rnacentral:rRNA from 1 species